AUUCUUGAAAACAGAAACGAAGCUGUAGGUCUGACCUAUAAGUUAGAAUAAAUUGGAAUGAAUCUUUGAGGAGAGGGUGGGAAGAACAUGAUGAAGACAGGUAUAAAGGGUAGGGAUGACAGGAGAACUCCAAUACUUGGGAAAACAAAAUUCAGACUGUUACAGGAUGAUAGUGAUUCCAAAUGAAUGUGAGCAGAGAAAUGCAAAGUCACUUUAAAGAGACAGCUGGGCAGCUGGCAGCUGACCCGCCUGACAGCUUCUGCAGGUCAGCCAGCUGAUCAGGCCCAGGCCAGGUUAGCAGUGCCCACCCAGAGCCUGGAGGGCUUGUGUGGUUCUAGGACAAGUUGGCACAAGUAGAGAUGGCAGAGCCCCAGUUCCUGCCCCAUGGUGCUGCAUCUCACCAGCUCCCCACCCGGCAGCAUCGUGUUCCCUAUGCCAGCUGGAAGACCCACCACUGCCCUCUCCUACAAUCCCCUGGUGUGGAGGGGAGCCUGGGUCUGUGACUUGCAGCCUCCACACCCACACACCAGGUGCUAGGAAGUCACUGGUCCUCUGGCCCUAGCUCCUUAGGGGAGGGGUGACACAGCAUGCAUGGACCUGUUAGGGAAAUCAAGGAUAUCUGCAGGAGAACCUGUGUGCAGAUGAGACCCCAGAGCCACCCUGCACCCAGUCACUAGGAUGAACCUAAGCAUCCUGGGGUCUCCCAUGAGGUCAUUCGGUCCUUUCCCCCACCCCUGGCCCUGGCAGCUUCCAGAACCAACCCCAGCCCAGCCAUUUCCAGUCUGGAUUCCGGGUGGGGGAGGGGAGGGUGACAUCACCCAGCCCUGUGUCUGGCAGGUGGAGACUGUACCAUGUGUCAGGCCUCCCCUGCUGGCCAUAUGUCCUGGUCACCUUGAGCCAGGCUGCUUGUGAAGCAGUGGGGAUGGUAGCACCCACUUUGCCAGGCAAGGUUGGGAAAUGCACUGAGAUCCUGAAUAAUAACACCACUUGCCACCCGUUUUGUGCUCUGUUGCUCACUUAGCCUUGUCCGCUCUCCCAGUGACCAUACAAGGCUCUGGCUGUGGUAACACCUGCUAUACUGCAAAGGAUGCAGGCUGAAGGGACAAAGGAGUCGAUGAUCUGAAUGGCAGAGCGCCUGGUCCUAGCUAGCUGGUUUAGCAAGCUAGGAAGCAAGAAAUAGAACCAGAAAAGGAGAAACUCAACUCGCAUUCGCAGGUGAUAUGAUUGUACCUAGAAAAUAUCAAGAUAUUCACAGCCACGUGAAGAAUGAAGUUUUAAAGUUGCUGGCUCAGAACACCAGAAGUCCAUUGUAUUUAAAACUCCCUGGGAAACAAAAUGAAACAAAAGUUUCCGUUUGUAACAGCAUCAAAACAAAAACUGUACCAAUAACAAAGUGAGCAAAAGUUGUGUAAGAAUGUUGUGUCCUGCUGGACUGUGAAACGGGAGGCAGAGGGGGGC
ensembl:lncRNA